GAUGAACGCUGGCGGCGUGCCUAAUACAUGCAAGUCGAACGGUGAUUGUAGCAAUACGGUCUCAGUGGCGAACGGGUGAGUAACGCGUUGGUGACCUGCCCCAAAGAGCGGGAUAACAGUUCGAAAGGACUGCUAAUACCGCAUGUGAUCUCCGGGAUUAGAGACCUGGAGAUGGAAGGGAGAAAUCCGCUUUGGAGGGACCUGCGUCCCAUCAGCUAGUUGGUAGGUAACGGCCUACCAAGGCGAUGACGGUAGGGGACCUGAGAGGGUGGCCCCCCACAAUGGAACUGAAACACGGUCCAUACACCUACGGGUGCAGCAGUA
rnacentral:rRNA from 1 species